CUCCAAAAUAGCCUUCCAUCAAAUUUAGUUACCAAACAUAUCCUGAAUUCAUAAACCACUUUACCCUUUCAUCAGUUACGCCUAUAUUCCUCAUCCUUUCAUUUCAUCGGUUAUGCCCUCAUCCUUUUAAUUCAUCGGUUACGUCGUCUCCCCCGAUCUUCCAUUACCUCCACCAACUUUUAAAGAUGAAUUCUCAAUUCUUCUCAGUCAUCAUCAACGUUCACCGUAUCCUCCGUUCUUCUCAGUUUUUGGGAAUUGGUCAAGUGUUUUCCUAUUUAGGGCUUGCUUCAAGUGUUCUAAUUGAUCCUGUGUCAAUUUCAUCAGUACUAUCCAAGCUUGAACCGGUCAAGAUGUUGCAUGAAAGGAAUAUGUACAGGAAGGAGCCCAGAGGAAGCAACCUGAAUGGGGAUUGCAAGCUCUCCCCACUUGGGGAUGGCAAAUGCAUCGGCAAGCCACAUUGUCAUUGCUCUCUUCUGCAGCAUCAUCAAGAUUCUCGACUAACUUGGUUACAGCCAUAACUUAUUCACCUUAUCUUCAGCUUCCUCCAUCGUCUAUAUAUAAUGUCGCACGUUUAUGUUUCCCAGUUCAUUUAUUAUUUUCCUCUCUAUAAAAUUAUUCAUGCAGUUUGUGUUUGAGGAUCUGGUACGUGGUAUAUUCACCUGAAUCUGGUAUGUGGAACCACAUUCCAGAGAGGUAGGGACAUUCAACAUACCACAAUAACCUGAAUCCUUGAGGGUCUAAUUCUAACCAGAGUAUAUAUGUUGCCUAUAUCAAUUUAAUCUUUCUGCUACAAUUUAGGAUGUUUUCAAAGUUUAUGAAGCUUGAUCUCAACUUUUGGCAACCGUUCAAUUGGAAUAAUUCGAUUGCCUUGCCUCUUUUGAAGUGCCUUUUUAUGAACCAGUAUGGUUGCAUCAAAAUUUGUGACAGGCAGUUUUGUAUUCUGAACAUGGGGCUCCAUUCUCAUUUACCUUGUCUUUGGUUGGUUUAACUGCAAUUACGUUCUUGGUGGCACUUAUGCUUAACAUGGUGAAACUUUACGGGAUUUUGGAUUCCUGUUGAGGGCCGGUUGCAUACGUCUAAAGUAUUCCUUUUGUCUGUGGUUCUAUUAUUGAUGAUCUAAAUUAUUUUGAAGUUUUAAUUGCAAUUUUUUGUGUUUCUCUGUGGAAGAAUUGACCUUUGGUGAUUGUUCUUUUUUGCUAUCUUAUCCAUCCAUUUUAGAGAUAAAUGGAUUGGUUCAUCUUCAGUCUGCAAAAGUGUCAAACUGUUCAGGAAUAAAUAUGGUCAUUGUGAAGACUACAAAUGUUAAGCAAUUUGUGUUGUUUUCUGGGGAGAAUACACAUAAGAUCUCGAGACUAAAUUUCCUGCUUUUAGAUGUUGAUGGUAAUGAUUUUUCCACUGCAGCAGGAAAACCUUCACUUCUGAAGCAUUUGAAUUUAAGAGGGAGCAAAUUUGCACUCAAUAUAACCAAUUUCACUGCUCUCGAGACUGUUUUACUUAAAGAUAUAUAUAUCUUACAGAUGAGAAUGUGGGCAAUUUAUUGACAAGUUGUUUGUUCCUUAAGAGAUUGGAUCUCAUAACAUGUCGCGGUUUUUUCACUCUGAACAUCAUGGGUCCAUUCUCGCGACUAAAGAUUCUGAAUGUGAGGCAUUGCAACCAACUUGUUGAGAUAGCAAUUUGUGCUUCAAAUCUUAUGGAAUUUAGAUAUCUUGGACAUCUAAUAUGUUUCUCUCUGAGAGAAGUUCCCAAAUUGGUAAUAGUUGAGAUCAAAAUCAAAGAAGAUGUCUGCGAUAUCAGCUCUGAAUGUUGCUUAACAUGCAGGUUAUUUCUAUCCAUUGUAAUAUUAUUGUCUAUCUUGAUUAUGAUAAUUGAUUUGGUAUAUGGAUUUCAUAAAACUGCUCAAAUUAGGGGUGACAUAUUUGUUGUGUUUCUCAUGUAGUUCUCGUGUUUACUGCUUUUAUUCUUUGCGUUACUUGCGUUUUUCUCUAUUUUCUCUUGUCAAGAGAUCGAAACUUUGACUUCAAAAAGCUUACUGCUUCAUGGGGGAAGAGGCUACACAGUAUCUCAUAGGGAACAAAGAUAAAUUUCAAGCUGUUGGGUAUGAUUUAGAGACCCAAGGCUAUCAGACUUCCACCUAUGUCGGCGAUAAAAUCUAUUUAAUUGGAGGAUCUGAGGAAUAUGCUGGCUCAGUGAUUGGAGUCAAAAUUCUUGAUAAGUUAACAUGAAAAUGGAGGUCUUUUCCUACUACAUUGGGUACCAAGCCCAUUUCAUCUGAAUGCCACUCAGAAGUUCUUAUAAAUAAAAAUCAGAUCUUGAUCCUUAAGGGGAGGUCUCCUCUUGCUGAUUGAAGCUGCUUUCUUGAGGGGAACAGAAACUUAGGAACAAGUUCAAAAGAGUCUAAGAAAUGCAAAAGCUGAGCUCGAGCAAGGAAGAGGCCAAGGUCUUUUUGACCAUGUAUUGGUUAAUGAUGACCUUGAAACGUGCUAUCAUAAUAUGAAGAUAUUACUUGCCCUAGAUGAAACCCCUAAUGUCUCUAAUGAGUCAACAUUGGAUAAAAUUCCUCUUAAUCAUUGUGUCUAAAAAUGAUCAGAAGAUUCUAAAAAACUGUGGCGGGGGUCAAUUAGAAUCUUCAACUCCUAGCAUGUGUGUUGAUUUCACUAUGCUCUGGAGAUUAAUACUUGAACCAUUCAUUUUAGUAAAUUCAAGCUGCUGCUUCUCUUGUACGUUUUUCCUAGAUGCAUCUUCACUUAAAGGAGGUGCUCUUCGCCGGACGAGGUGACUAAUUAUCUCUACAAUCAAAUCAUCGACAGAUAAUAUUAAUGGGUUCGCACAACUUUAACAAUUCAUACAUCAAGCAAUUGGAGCAAGAUGUCUGCACUAUCACAGACAUGUUAUUGAUUUUGUAUUACGAUAUAAAAGAUGAAACAGAGUAGUGUUUGAACACCAAGAGAGCUAGCAUGUUAAGUUGUAGUUGAGACGUGGUUAUGUUUCAUUCGUUGCUAUUAGAUAAAUCAUUAUGUUACGUGAUAUAAGUGAAAUCAGAUUGCAAAAAUUUGUCUCAUGGAUGGUGCUGCCUACAGUUAUAGUAUCAUUGUUUUUAGCCUGUGAUAAGUCGGCAUCAGUGGAUCCAUGCGACAUCUGAAAUUUAUUCUGAUAAGAAACUUAUUAGAGCCCAAUCUG